rnacentral:rRNA from 1 species
GACGAACGCUGGCGGCGUGCUUAACACAUGCAAGUCGAACGGAAAGGCCCUGCUUUUGUGGGGUGCUCGAGUGGCGAACGGGUGAGUAACACGUGAGUAACCUGCCCUUGACUUUGGGAUAACUUCAGGAAACUGGGGCUAAUACCGGAUAGGAGCUCCUGCUGCAUGGUGGGGGUUGGAAAGUUUCGGCGGUUGGGGAUGGACUCGCGGCUUAUCAGCUUGUUGGUGGGGUAGUGGCUUACCAAGGCUUUGACGGGUAGCCGGCCUGAGAGGGUGACCGGCCACAUUGGGCCUGAGAUACGGCCCAGACUCCUACGGGAGGCAGCAGUGGGAAAUAUUGCACAAUGGGCGGAAGCCUGAUGCAGCACCGCCGCGUGCGGGAUGACGGCCUUCGGGUUGUAAACCGCUUCCGCCUGUGACGAAGCGUGAGUGACGGUAAUGGGUAAAGAAGCACCGGCUAACUACGUG